AACGAACGCUGGCGGCAGGCCUAACACAUGCAAGUCGAGCGAAGCCUUCGGGCUUAGCGGCGGACGGGUGAGUAACGCGUGGGAACGUGCCCUUUGGUACGGAAUAGCCCCGGGAAACUGGGAGUAAUACCGUAUGUGGUCGAGAGACGAAAGAUUUAUCGCCAAAGGAUCGGCCCGCGUUGGAUUAGGUAGUUGGUGGGGUAAUGGCCUACCAAGCCGACGAUCCAUAGCUGGUUUGAGAGGAUGAUCAGCCACACUGGGACUGAGACACGGCCCAGACUCCUACGGGAGGCAGCAGUGGGGAAUCUUAGACCAUGGGGGAAACCAUGGUCUAGCCAUGCCGCGUGAGCGAUGAAGGCCUUAGGGUUGUAAAGAUCUUUCAGUGGGGAAGAUAAUGACUGUACCCACAGAAGAAGCCCCGGCUAACUCCGUGCCAGCAGCCGCGGUAACAC
rnacentral:rRNA from 1 species